AAAUCGCAGACUGGGAAAUCUCUGCUGGCAAAUGUGGUGUCACGGUAGCAAUCGCACAAUUACCUGUAGAGAUUCUGCAAUCUGGCUUU
rnacentral:pre_miRNA from 13 species